rnacentral:lncRNA from 1 species
GUUGAGCGACGGCGACGGGGGCGGUGGUUGGAGUGAAAGUCACGCACAGUGGACAGCGUGGUGGUGUGCAACGAGGCUGGGGGUCGUGCUUCAGGGUGGAGUGGGGGUGGUCCGACGGGGAAGAAGGGAAUGGAAAAAGGAAUGGAAGGGAAAAUGGUGAGGAGAGUGUUAGGAAGUGCAGCAAUGGGGGUCGAGGCUUGUGACGCGAGGUUGACUCACUACUGGUGGGUGGUUUGAAUGGGGAAAAGGGAAUGGGAAAUGGUAGGUGCGGCAGUGGGAGCUUGGAAAGGGAAGAAGGGGGGAUCGGGGUUGACGGGGUGAGUGAGGGAGAGGUGAUGGAAGAGACGGAAAGGGCGACGGUGGUUGCCAGAUUUGAAAAAGGGAGAUGAACGACGGCGGUUAGGGUGAUGGGGGAUGAAGAAGACAAAGUAAAAUCUAAAAAGGGGAUUAGGGUUUUUUAAAAGGGUGACACGGUUGUGUGAGGCCCAUGUUAGGCCACACGGUCGUGUCACACACCC